UCUUUCACAUCGUGUGGAUGCAUUGUUGUGGCAAAGCUGUGACCUUUUCUUCUGUUUUCUUCGCUGACAAUCUCAUUCAUUCAUUCAUUUUUCACUUUCUUUUCUUCUCUGCGCCCUCUGCAACCCAAAAAGCUGCUUCUGAUUCUCUUUCCGCUUCUCCAUUCCCCAAAACCAAACACCUUCUUGAUUCAUCAGCUUUUCUAUUUCUUUCCCUGCUUCCCUUUCCCCUUUUUUAUUUUGUUUUCUUUUCUUCUCUGUCUCAUUGUGUAUCUAAACAGAACUUCAUGUUAUUCUCCCAUUGAUGUAAAAUUUUGAGCUUUGUAAUUUCCUUUCGUUUUCUCUUUUGGCUGCGCUUUUGUUAAAGAGCUUCUGUUUAAUUUGAUUAAACAGAAGCUCUUUUGUUGUGUUUUUAAUUUUAUUUUUGUAUUUUGUUUGUGUUGAUCUCUCUUCGGAGAGUAAUUUAAGAGAAAAAAAAAAAACAAGGAGCUUAGGUUGAAGCUCUGGAUCUGAAUUGUGAUGGAGGAAGAAAAGGAGAAGAUUCAAAACCGUGUUGUUGUUGUUGACGAUGCAGUUGAGUUGAAGUGCAGCUACAUGCAGAAGUUCAGGCUCUAUGAAACUCGCUCGAAGGAUUGCCACUACUUGUCCUUUUCAGGAAAAAAAUUGAGUAGUCAUGCGAAUAUUAUCUGGAAAUUUUGAUGAAGUUGGGGCAAAAUCCAAAAGAAGGCCCAAAACAGUUGAAUUAAACCCACACAUCAUUCCUUCUUUAGAAAGUGAAACCUAAAAGGCAAAAAUUGAUAGUCACAUCCUUAAAUUUGACUUUACCUUAAUCUUCAGCAUUUGUCACCUUCAUCUAUCUCUCUCACUUUUUAUGUUUGUUUUUUCCUCAUGUAUUCUAUGCUUAGGGACAGAAUUCAUAGUGUUCUAGAUAGAUAUCAAGCAUUCUUUCUCUCAUCAGCUAACAUAAUGAUAAGUUGUUGGUUUGUUUCUUGCAAGACAAGCAAUUGUAGCUACUUUACAAAAUCAUCUGGUAUAAUUUUUGUACUUAUAUGUUUAAAUUCUUAGAAAAGUUGGUGGACUGCAACAAUUAUUGUUGUAAUCUAAAGUUUGUUUCAACUUUUUUACUGUUACUUUUAACGCUAUUCAUUCACAUUAGAAAAACCACUUGUAAUCUAAAGUUUUGCGUUAAUAUGGAGUGAUAUUUAUAGCAAAGCUACAUCUUUCCAUUUCUUUAAUACAUUAAUAGCUGUGAUGUACUUUUACCUGUUAAGAAUAUCAUCCUUCUUAAUUUGUCUAUGACUCUAUGCACAUUAUACAUGUAUAGUGCAAUGUUGCAGU